UGAACAUAACAAGGUUUAUUACUUCAUAUUAUUCAUAAAAAUACACUAAAAAUACUUAAAUGCAUGUUUUUUGCCAUUUUAUAUCUAUUUUUUAUUGGGAAUUUUGACUUUUUCAGGUAGAGGAAUGUCUGCAACUAAGCCGAGGGCCACUGGAUAGGGUUGUUGAUGGUAAAACAGGUAGAGGAAUGUCUGCAACUAAGCCGAGGGCCACUGGAUAAGGGUUGUUGAUGGUAAAACAGGUAGAGGAAUGUCUGCAACUAAGCCGAGGGCCACUGGAUAAGGGUUGUUGAUGGUAAAACAGGUAGAGGAAUGUCUGCAACUAAGCCGAGGGCCACUGGAUAAGGGUUGUUGAUGGUAAAACAGGUAGAGGAAUGUCUGCAACUAAGCCGAGGGCCACUGGAUAAGGGUUGUUGAUGGUAAAACAGGUUAAAGACUACAUGAGACUUUGACAGAUGGCGGGAAACCCUCAUCCACUGGUACGAACCCGGUAAAUUGAUGGCUGUAAAACAGUGACCGCUGAUUCGCAUCGAGUUCUUUCUUGCAAAACGCAUGACCCCCCUUUUUUAUUGUCUAAAUCAUUGCGACUUGGAAUGCUCUUUAAGAAAAGGUAUGGUUAUGGGGGUCUCUAUGCGCAAAAGUUUGACUUUAUUUUUUGUUGAAGUUAUUGCUUUUACAUUGAAUUUGUGUAGGAAAUCUUUUGGUAUAUUGUAAC